GAAGAAAAGCUGAUGGAAAAUCAAUAAUGAAAUAUAUAAUUUCUUUCUUUUAAUGCUGUGUCCAAUAAUUAAGCGUACAUAAUUUAAUUCAAAUGAUGAAUAUGUCACUAUUGCAGUAAUCAGUGUACAUUUUCAGACGCAAAAUAGUAUAUUUUGAGCAAAGAGACGGUAAAGGUUAAAGGUCAUUGUGAUGUUUACGUUAUGACGUUAUUGAUUAGCAACCGCAUGUGCCGUCUGUCGUCUGCAAGAUGUACUGAAACAAUGAAGCAUCAAACAAAUGGAAUCUGAUGGGAAGGUUGGAGAGUCUCCAUACACGGAGCAGAGAAAGAAGUCGGUAGCGUUCGCAAUUAACCAACCCCUUGUUCCCACUGUGCCCAUGGCACCUUCUUCAAACACCCGUGUGCCAGUUGAUAAGCAAUUACCUACAAAUUUGGCCAGGAGGCCAUCCAGUAAUUUCUUACCCAGUAAGAAACGCAUUUCCAUGUCCUUAGGCACCCAGGAGGAAAGCAUUGUUCAGCGAGGCCAAAAACAAAAGUCGAGAAAGAUGUCCCUUGAAGCAAAGUCUAUCUCAGACAUUGAUGCGUUUCCAACAGUCAAAACACAUGUGGAAAAUAUCACUGAGGCGCCAUCUACAACAACCCAUUUUCCAGAUCUUGCGCAGGCAAGACCACAGGUGGAAGUCAAGAUUCAAAGGGAAACAAUAAAACCACUGGGACGGAAUGAGAAAUCAAAGCCAGCAAAGAGCAGCCCCUGGGACAAGAUUGACUUCAAGUCUCAACUUAGGAUGGACCCGUUUGAAAUGGCCAGCAUGAUGAGCAGUGGGUCCAGCCCCUUAAGCCCCUUCAUGAAAGUAAACAACAUUUUAGGGUUAGCCGAAUUAAUGUCCCCUGAUCUCCGCUGUGAUGUUGGCUUUUACCCUCACAGUCUUCUAACUCGCAGGAGGUCCUCCUCAUCGAUGUACAGCAACGGCGAGGUCAUGGAGGUGCUGGCAGAGCUACAGAAACGGAUACGUCAACGAAAGGAGGACGACAUUAAAGCAGAGCUCACGGCCAUAAAACAGCGUGUACAAAAGAGCCUGGAGGAUGUAGACAUGGCUGACAACCCCGAUGAGGAUCCUAGUGUGGUCCAGACACCGACCUUCACCUCGGCCUUCAACACCCGCGCCAUGUGGGAGAAAAUGCAGGAGAGAAAUCAGCUUCUAGAGCGAGUCGAUGGUUUUGCGGAGAAUGCCGUAAACAAGAAACAAAUGAUCAUGGAAGUGAACUACUGGCUUCAAGACAAUCUCAAUAUGUCCAGUGAUGUGGCUACCCCAGAGGAGCUCAAAGCAAUGGUAGAAGAAGCAGCAGACUUGCACAAUGUCAUAUCCACUUCCAUGGAAGAGUUUAUCAACACGGGUGACAAGGUGGUGGAGAAAGGGCGCCUGCUACUGCAGGAGACGAGCAAAAUCAUUGAAGAAAGACGAGCACAUAGAGAUAAGAGUUCAAAAAGAGAAAAAAUGAAUAUCUAUGAUGAAAAGGUGCUGUUGUCGGAGCCUGCUAAAUGGGAGAGCUCGGUAGCGAUGAUCCUGUCAGUGUUUGAAGACAGCCACAAGAUGAUGAAGAAUGUAGUGCUGAAAAAUUCCCUCAAGCUUAGUCAGAAUCAGUUUGAGUACAUGAUGCUGGCGUCCGAGAUUCGUGCAAAAGAGUUUGAAGACAAGAGGAAGAUGUGCAUAGAACUUCAGGGGAAGUUGCACUCUGCCAAACUGGGAACCGACCGGGUGAGUAGGGAGGUGGAAGAGCAAAAGAAGAAGGUCGCACAGAUGGGACAAGAGAUGGAGACGUCCAAUAAAGCACUUGAGAACCUGCAGCAGAGAAACCAAGAGUUGCAAAGCAAAGUGAUGGAGCUGAACGCCAAAAUACGCUCGCUGGAGGAGCAGCUGGUGAUAGCCAACACCCCACGCACACCCCCACCCCCUCCAACACCACCACCACCACCCACCCCAGAGAAGAUCUAUGUGAAGGUAGUUGACUCGAGCACUGAACUACGUCUGAGAGAAGUUGAGGAUGAACUAGCCAAAGCUAGGGUUGAAAUUGAAGAUUUGAUGUUAAAACUGGAAGAAGUGUCAGAACAACUACAAGCGGAACAGGACCGUAGCCGCCAACUGGAGUCUCGUAUCCUUGAGCUGGAGAGUAUUGAGCCCCCAGCUCCUGUCAUCAUACAGGCACCACUGCCAUCACAACCAUCACUGCAAAUACCAACAGAGCCUUCUGAAUUGGACGUCAUUAUACCAGAGGCGCAGGCAGUCCCAGAUGGGACAACCAAGGACAGCCACUAUUACAAGACUCUCAUGGCAGGCAUGAAAAAGGACUUCGAGGCUGAACUGGAGAAGGUUAAAGGUCACUUUCUCAAGGAGAAAUCAAGGGGUGAGGCCGGGAUCCGUAAGAUAGAACAACAGCACAAGGAUCAACUACACAGCAUACAGCGGGACACGAUGCGUAUCCUGCGAGCAAUCAUGCACUUCCGAGAUCACAUGCAGACCUGUCUCGAGAAAGAGAACCUUGUGGAUCAGGCACAGGCGUUGACCGAACUUGGAAGCAUCACCAAGGACAAGAUUUCCCAGGAUGCAAAAGAUGCGUUGGUUGCUGUUGUAGGGGUGGUAGUAGAAUAUCUCCACAAUCUAGAGGGUAUCCUCUCCAACUCCCUACUGGCCCUCAAGAUGCUCAUGAAACAACAGGUUGAGCGCCUCGUGGAACAGGAAGUGCAGCUACGGCUCACCAAGGAGAGGCAGGAACGCACUAUCAAGGAAGUACAGAAAAAGGAUCGUAUGUUGAAAGGGAAGCGUAAAGAUGUUGGUGGAAUUGCAAAGAGGCUGAAAAAGGCCAAGAACAAGCUGAAGAAAGCCAAGCACGACAUUGAGUUCCUUUCCAACGACAAGCGCUACCUGGACCUGCUGGGGAGAUACAGCUACAUGAUGAAGAUAUACCAGAAGAUGCAGAGAGAGAUGGAGACACUGCAGAGUGACUUCCAGCAGACCAUGCAGAAAAAACUGGAUGAAAGGGAAACUUUGGUCAUCUCACAGAUGAAGAUGCAAAUAAAACAGCAACGAGUGGUGAAUGAAGAGAAUCUAAGACUGACAAUCAUGGACCAGCGAGAGAACCUUCGUAUCCUGGCACGGGCGUAUGAGGACAACAAGAUUUCCCGAGAUCUCCUCGCCUGUGCCAAAGCCAUGAUACAGAAAACCAUGGAAAUUCCCGAGAUACGGUUACGGAACCUUUUUGAGCAAUACAUCACCUUCAGAGCUAUCCAGGAUGCCAGACAGCGUGUUGAGAAGGUAUUAGAAGAGGAAGAGGACCUAGCUAUUGACACUCGCAAUGAGAUGCAACUUUACCUGGCAAAUAUGGAUGGGCGAUUUAACUCCAGCAUGAAGGUUUGGAGAAGCAAAAUGAAGCAACUGGAAUCAGAGAAAAGAGAAAUGAACCAUAAAAUCUUUAAAUUAUUCAACGAGGUCCUUCUGGAGACGGGAAUACUCCUGGUACAUCCCCUACUCAAAGACAAGGACAGACAGACCAUCUUCAACAACGCCGCCACACAGGUCCCCAGGAAACAACUACAGGCUCUGCUCUUGAAACGGCAACCCAAAUGCAUGAAGCUGGAGGCUGAGUUACUGCGACUGCCAUCAGAGCUGCAGGGAUCUGCCAUCAAUAACCACUGUGGAACUGAGAGACUCUGGUCCCAACAGUCCCUGGAAUCUAAAAUGGCACCUAGUGUAAUCUUACCCCACAUUCUUGCAUAUGAGGUCAACAAGCCUAAAAUUAGUGCAGUCAGGUAAGUAAAUCAUGUGAGAUCAUCAAUCAGGUAAGUAAAUCAUGUGAGAUCAUCAAUCAGGUAAGUAAAUCAUGUGAGAUCAUCAGUGAGGUAAGUAAAUCAUGUGAGAUCAUCAAGUCAGGUAAGUGAAUCAUGAGAGAUCAUCAGUCAGGUAAGUAAAUCAUGUGAGAUCAUCAGUCAGGUAAGUAAAUCACACCAGUCAGGUAAGUAAAUCAUGUGAGAUCAUCAAGUCAGGUAAGUAAAUUAUGUGAGAUAAUCAAUCAUGUAAGUAAAUCAUGUGAGAUCAUCAGUGAGGUAAGUAAAUCAUGUGAGAUCAUCAAGUCAGGUAAGUAAAUCAUGUGAGGUCAUCAGUCUGGUAAGUAAAUAAUGUGAGAUCAUCAGUCUAGUAAGUAAAUCAUGUGAGAUAAUCAGUCAGGUAAGUAAAUCAUGUGAGAUCAUCAGUCAGGUAAGUAAAUCAUGUGAGAUCAUAAGUCAGGCAAGUAAAUCAUGUGAGAAUAUCAGGUAGGCAAGUAAAUCAUGUGAGAUCAUCAGUCAGGUAAUUAAUCAUGUGAGAUCAUCAAUCAGGUAAGUAAAUCAUGUGAUAUCAUCAGUCAGGUAAGUAAAUCAUGUGAGAUCAUCAGUCAGGUAAGUAAAUCAUGUGGCAUCAUCAGUCAGGUAAGUAAAUUAUGUGAGAUCAUCAGUCAGGUAAGUAAAUCAUGCGAGAGCAUCAGUCAGGUAAGUAAAUCACACCAGUCAGGUAAGUAAAUCAUGUGAGAUCAUGAGUCAGGUAAGUAAAUCAUGUGAGAUCAUCUGUCAGGUAAGUAAAUCAUGUGAGAUCAUCAGUCAGGUAAGUAAAUCAUGCAAGAUCAUCACUCAGGUAAGUAAAUCAUGUGAGAUCAUCAGUAUGGUAAGUAAAUCAUGUGAGAUCAUCAAGCACAAUGUAAAGAUGUUUGUGAUAAGCAAUUUUUGUUUAGUUGGUGAAAUAUUAAAACAGAAUGAGAUAAAUCUGCUUAUCUACACCCUGCAUAUAAAUUAUUGGUACCACUAACAUUAUAGUGAUUGUAAGCUUCAUGUGGGUUAAAAUAUUACAUUUUGCAUCAUACUUUAAGAUAGGAAGUGCUUUUUCCCACCGUUGUGGGAAAAGGUAAUGUGCCCUUUAGAUUAAAAAACAAUGUGUUGUUUCCACUUAUGCAUUUGGAAUGUCUGUUGUUCUUUUUCGCUUAUAAAUAUGAUCACAUUCAAAAUAUGUUUUUUAACAUUACAUUUUGCAAAAAUAAAAUUGAUACAGGCUUGGACUGAACAUUUAGAUUUAGUAACUCUUUUUUUUCUUUAAAAUUUCAAUAUGUAUGUGUGUGCCUGGGAAUGAGGCCAAAUUUUGCCCUAAAAUUUGAAGAAAAAACCAACUCAACAGGAUUGUGUCAUUUCCCUACUCUUACCCGACUUUUAGUGCACCCAGUAAUGUCCUUCCUUAACCCAUUUAUGCCUAGUGUCUAGAAAAAAGGCCUUGGCAAACAGCGUAGACCCAGAUGAGAUGCCUCAUGAUGCAGCGUCUCAUUAGGGUCUGCGCUGUUUGAUUAAAGGAAUUUCUGUAAGAAAUAUUCUAAAUAUAGAAAUAAAUAUACUAGACAUCCCUAAUUUUGGAAAUAAAUUGAUCCAAUUUACAAGUAUGGGAGAGUCCACUAGGCAUAAAUGGGUUAAAACCUAACCUUAUUUACCUCAACAUGUCAAUUAUUUCACCUGAACCCAUGGGCUUGUUAAUGUCAAAUACCCUCCGUCUGUAGGACAUUGGGCCAGAACAGGAAGCGGUACCUCAUGGGUCGGACAGAGAGUUUCAACAUCAGUGACGGGAACUGCGUGACCUUUAUACGUGACCUCACUAAGCCUACCUACAUGCAGCAUUAUCCACACGAGGUACCCUCC